UUGCAAUCGUGCGCGAAGCAAUGAUAUUAUCGAAUAUUUGUUCGUUCACGUUUCGCGAUUUAAAUAACAAGUGUUUUUGCAUCUACUGCGUGCAAUGUAGUCAUUAGAGUCAGUGUUUGUUCGGAAAAAAGUAUUUUGUUUUUUUAACAGUGGAAUAGACUGUAAUUAUAAAAGACAGUAGAGUUUCGCGGAGUAAAUUCAGUGCAUCACUGAAGAGGAUCUCAAUCAAUUUCGAUGUCGUCCUACCUAUGUCUAGAUUAUACAAAUAAUUUAUGUAUAAUAUAUAAGUAUAUAACACGAGUACACAUUACGGUUAUCACAAGACGUGUUCGCAAAUUCAAUAGUGUAGUGGGGAUACUCUCCCACUCCUCACGACAAUAUUAGUGGACCGACUUUGACAAUAAACGGUUCAGUCUUGCUUCGAAUUUCGACGAGUACACAUCGUAAUUCUUGUAGAUCUCGCAGUACGCAUUCUCUCCAAGUAAUAAAGAAGAGUUAAUGAAACUUGAAUGCGAAGUGGGGAUACUCGGCUUCGAAGGACGACAACAAAGUCGGUCUUCUGACCGACUUUUACAAUUACUAGUUCAGUUGUGCUUUGGACUUCGACGAGUAGACUUAGAAAUUUUCGCGGAUGCCAUUCGCGCAAGUAUUAACGAAGAGUUAGUUCAAAUAUACAACAGUUUAUUUGAUUUCAGACUUGAAUACGAAGUGGGGAUACUCGGCUUCGAAGGACGACA